UACAGAGGUGGCAAGCGUUGUUCGGAAUUACUGGGCGUAAAGGGCGCGUAGGCGGCCUUCUAAGUCUUGUGUGAAAUCCCUCGGCUCAACUGAGGAACUGCACGGGAUACUGGAUGGCUUGAGUUCGGGAGAGGGAAGCGGAAUUCUGGGUGUAGCGGUGAAAUGCGUAGAUAUCCGGAGGAACACCGGCGGCGAAGGCGCCACUCUGGGCCGAAACUGACGCUGAGGAGCGAAAGCAUGGGUAGCAAACAGG
rnacentral:rRNA from 1 species